CAGUCGCCACGGUAAUACGAAGGGUGCAAGCGUUAAUCGGAAUUACUGGGCGUAAAGCGUGCGUAGGCGGUGAGUUAAGUCUGCUGUGAAAUCCCCGGGCUCAACCUGGGAAUGGCAGUGGAUACUGGCUCGCUAGAGUGUGUCAGAGGAUGGUGGAAUUCCCGGUGUAGCGGUGAAAUGCGUAGAGAUCGGGAGGAACAUCAGUGGCGAAGGCGGCCAUCUGGGACAACACUGACGCUGAGGCACGAAAGCGUGGGGAGCAAACAGGAUUAGAUACCCCAGUAGUCCCUGUCUCUUAUAA
rnacentral:rRNA from 1 species